UUAUGUUCGGUUUUGAGAAUUGAUUUUUUGUGUUAUUUAAUUUUAUAUGCUGUUUAUUUGUUCAGCCGUAGGUGACAGGCAUAGAACGGUCAUUUUCUAUUUGUAAACGAUUUUACCUGCGUUUUGGAGUACCUACUUCAUAGAAGAGCAUUUCAAUUUAGUGCUUGAUUGUGUCAGAAUAUGUGUGCUAAAAUGCAAUAUUUUGCUUCAUUAGAUUCGCUGUCCCCUGAAGUUUGUGAGGAUUUGUCAACAGUAAUUUUUUAUCUUAUAUAUAGGAAAAUAUUCCCAAGAAGGCACUGAAUUCAUAUCAAUAUAGCACUCGUACAUGUGGUGAUUGUUGGUGGUGUGUAUCCCGUACCGUGAAGCUUGAAAGCCUACUUAUAUGCCACAAUUUUUAAUAUUCAAGUUGAUUUUUAAUGAUGAAAUUAUGAAAGUUGUUCAGAACCUUGCACGGACUGGUUUACGUAUGGAAUGAUAAAUAAACAGUUCUCAUGAAUCCAAACAAAAAUAUGGCACAUGCUCAUGAGAACAUUUACUGCAGGUCUUUGACCAUUUGCUGGAAAAUGCCUUCCGCCAGCUGUCCGGUAAAGUCUUCAGACCUGAGGCAUCAUCCUGUUAUCACUCUGAAUAGCUUGGUGAGGUUGCUGAAGGCCUCUAUUACUGCUUCCUCUGAGGCUCUGACCCUAAGGUGCUUGAGCAAUAAGCAUUUUGGACUUUAAAGGAGGGAGUGAAUUUUCUGAUCCCUUGUUUUCUUGGCAGGUGAUUUAUCGCUGCUUAGGGCCAGCGGCCCAUCGGACAGCCUUGAGAAGACCGCCGCACGCUGUUUGCAGUCCGUCGACCACCUGUCUUCAACGGACGGACGCCCUCGGUCCCACUCAGCAAUUGACUGAAGCCUAUCGCGCCGAUAUGCUCGCCCAUCUUCCAUCCUCGCCCUGCCUGAUGGUUUCGACGACCCGGGCUGUGGUCCCUGAGGUUCGGAACCCGUCUCGCUGGCCUGCCAGCAGGAGGCCUGGCGCUCGUCGCAGACGAGCGCUGCAGUGUGGCCA